AUAUCCUUCCAUCUCUUUUAUCUUCAUGUCACAUGCAUCUUGAUUUUUUCUCCCUAACUUUUGGAGAUUUCACAUUGCUCUGAUUGGUUCCUUUUUAUAUAUGUGUGUUGUCAACUUUGUUCAUGGAACCAAUGACUAUAUGCUUUUAUUAUUGUUGUUUGAUUUAUUUUGUGAUCACUUGGACAACAACACAAGUAUCUAGCCAUGAAGCUCCAACAAGUAAAAGAUUGAAUUUGAAGGUGAUGACAGCCAUGUAAGUGUUGUCCUUAUGCUUAAAAGGUGGCUGCUAUGUUAUCAUGUAUAUUACCAUUUAUCUAUUAUCUAUUAAAGUGUCCUAAAACCUCUUAUUGUGCUGUCAAAUUUGAUCAUGGAACCAAUGACUAUAUGCUUUUAGUGCUGUCGGUCGAUUUAUGCUAUGUGAAAUUUAGUUAUUUUAUUCAUCUCUUCAUGUCAUUUUGCUGAUGAGAUGUGGGUUAUUAGGUGUCUUUUUUGUGCAGGUUGUGUGAUAGAUGUCGAAAGCAUACAAUGAAGUGGUGAAAAACAUGGUUUGAGAGGACACGAGUUAAAUCUGUUUUAUAAAAAGUUAAUUGAUCUUAUGCUUGAUGUUUUAAAUUUUUUUCUUUUUAUAUUUGUAAGGUUAUUUUUUGCAAUUUAUUGAAUAUUGAGCACUAGAGAGAUAUUGUGAAAAAAAAUACGAGUGUACUCAUGUUAAGCAGUUAAUGUAAAAUGAGAAUAUCUUGGCUGAUGUAUAUACUUAUCAUUUCCUUAUGUAUAUUCAACUAUGUAAUGGUAAUGCAUAUUAAAAUAUUUUUAAUUUACCUUAUAUUCUCUGCAACAAUUUAUCUUAGCAGAGUUUUUACAAAUUUGUGAUGAAUGUAACAUUGAAAUUGAAUUUUUGUUAAUGGGGGAUUUGGUAAUAUACUGCUUGUGGUAUUUGGGAAGGCAUCUUAUUGAAUAAAUAUGUAUUGGCAUUUGUUUAUUAUAUAUUGUUGAAGUCUUAUGUAGUUUAUAACCUCAGAAGUGAACAAAGAGUAGUCAAAUGACUUGCUUCAAUUGUCAAACUCGGCCAAAGAUAUAUCUUAUUCCAUCUGUCCUUCAAUACAUGACCUAGUUGACAAUAUACAUUAUUGACUUAACAUAUUUUGACCAUAUUUUUUUACUAAUUCACAAAGAUAAAUAAUAUCAUGUAAGUUGUUAGUGGAUUCGUCUCGAUGAAUAUUUUUAAAAUAUUAAAUUUUCAUAAUUGUGUUUAGAAGAGAAUUAAAGAUAUCAAAGAUAAAACAUAUGCAUUGGUACGUGUGUCGGAGUCAACUAGGUCAUCUAAUAUGGAACGGAGGGAGUAGCAUGUUUAAUGAUGCAAUUAAGAAGCCACAUACCACGUUGAGAACAAUUAUGACUCCUACAAAACUAAUUUCGUUGUUGCUUUGGAGCAUAGCUUUUGCAAAAUUAUAGUAGGUUGCCGUGUGGUGGUUUGGUCUGAUGGUAAAACGGUGUCGUUAUUAUGUAUAGCUUUUGUAUGUUGAAUAAUGUAUAGCUUCCUGUCCUAUUGUAGUUAUUGUUUGUGGAUUAUGGGAAUUAAGAAUUCCUUUGUCUAGUUUGGGUGAUUUUCAAUGGUUUUAAGGUCAUUUUUGCUCUUCCGUAACUUUUUAUCGAAUCAUUUACAAAUCUUUACUAAAAUACAAUCAAACUUGCUAAAUGAACUCUAAAAUAACACUAAAAAUCUAUAUGAUUUUCUGUCAUCAUGCACUAUACAAUUGUACGACUGCGAUAGUGUGUGGGAGUGAAAUGUUGCUUGGUCUAUUCGAAAUCUUGUGAUACAGCUUAUGCAGAUAUUUGCAACAUUUUGGUACUAUUAUAUUUGAGUUGUGCUAUUUGUUCAACCAAAAUUGGAUAACCAAUGCGCAACACUAUAUUAUAUUGUGAGGAACACACAAAUCGAAAUCGGUCUAAAAAAUUAAAAAAAUAGCAAGUAAGUUGUUGGUUGUACAAAUGUGAUGUUCACAUAUCAUUUAUAUUUUUACCCUUAUUGAAAACUUGGUAUUUUUUUUUCUUUGAAGGAUUACAAGCUCAUGUAUGUAUCAUCACAAACAUUGCAUAUAUGUCAUAAGUUAUCACCAUAUUGUUCAAUUGUUGUGAUUGAUAAUGAAAUUGUGUUAUAGUCGGGUCAUGAUAUUAUUGCUUCACUUUUUUAUGUGUAUAUGUUCAAGGUCACAGUCAAGGCGAUUCUUUAUUUUCUUUGAGAAUCAUAGGUGCCUUGGACAUUGACUAUUAUAUUUCCUGCGUUUAUUUAUAUAAGAAUUAGUUUAUAUAUGCCGAUAAUGUAACUUUUUUUUACAUAUGUGUUCAAUCAAAUUGUUCCAUGAUAUUAUUUUUAAGGUUAUAUAGUUACUAAAAUAUCCCUAUAAUAUCUAUUUAAUAUGAUUUGAUUGAAUGCAUGUAUGCAAUUUUUUUUUAUCGUUGAUAUAUUAUACAUAUAAAGUAUAUUUAUUUUUUUGACACAUAGAGAGUAUUUUUUUUUUUUUUUAGAGAAUAGAGAGUAUAUUUAUUAGAAAGUAACUUUCUCAGUGGUUUGAAAAAUAUGAGAUAUUUUGGCUUUAAGAAGAAAAAUAGGAGAGAUAGAUUGUUCAAAAAAGUAUAGAAAGAAACAAAUAUAUGAGAAGCUGAGUAGAUUUUGUGUAUGUUUGGUUUGAGUUAUGGAGGAAUCAAAAUUGAUUUUAGAGAUAUAAAAUUAAUUGAUUUUCACAUGUUUGAGUAUAAUUGGUUUUGUUAUUAAAAUUGAUUCUAAAAUCUAACUUGAAACUAGCAAUUGUAUAUUUUGAUUCUAAAAUUGGGUUUUACACUUAAAUUUACUAUAUUCAUCUUACUUUUAUAUUAAACAUAAAUCAUUUUACUUAUAACUUACUUUUAUAGAGAAUUAGUUCACUCAAAAUCAAUUUUUGUCACCACAUGAUUAAUGUAUUAUGUUUUUUUAUCAUUAAAUUUAAUAAAUUGGGUGGCAUAACCAAAAGAUAAGAGAAAAAAAAGUGCUCUCGCUCCUUUGUUCUGUUGAAUUGACAGAAGUAAUGGGCUCCACAACUUUAAUUAAUCAGGUCAACGCUAAUGGGCUCCACAACUUUAAGUAAUGGGCUCCACAACAAAGUGAAUACGUUAAUGGUGGUCAACGCUAAGUUCUCAGGUGGAGAUUAAUUAAUCAUAGACAAAGAUCAAUUAUUUCACAUCAAUAACAUGAUUAAAAAAUAUAUUAAUGUGGUUGGUUUUGUGGCGUAGGCUUGAGACUUACGAAUGUGCUUCUCUCUAAGUUUGAAGUUUCGAUCCUUAAUGAGCCAAUAAUUCGUGUAUUGGGUCGGUUCAAACAUGACUUUGCUCUGACUUCAUAUGAUUCAACGCUAAUGAAUGACAUAAUCAGUAUAUGAAAUAAUCGUUAACUAAAUAGGAUAUUGAGUUUUCGAGAAAAAAAAUUAACAUGAUUAAAAAGAACUAAAGGUUAAAUUAUUUUAAUUAAACUGUUCUAUUACUACAUUAAUUUUAUUAUUAUAAUUAUUAUUAACGGUGCACAUGUAAUUUUUUUUACUUGUGAUUCAUUGUGAGAGAACAAUGGUAUUGAAAGGUAAAAUAAGAAGUUAUUUUUAGCACACACAACUAGUGCGGGACCAUUUACAAACUUCAUAGGCUAGCAAGUUGUAUUAUUAUUAAUUUUGUUUUUGUCUUUAUUACAAACAUACAUGUAUAUAUCAUCAUAAACAUUGCAUGCAUGUCAUGAGUCAUCACUAUAUUUGUUCAAAUACUAUGAUUGAUUAUAAAGAAGUAACACUUAAAUUAGUGUUAUAUGAUCACCAUAUUAUUCAAAGAUUGUGAUUGCUUAAAUUAUUGCUUAAUAAUCGUUAAUUUCAGAAAUAGUUAAAAAAAUAUUCACUUGGCAAAAAAAAAUCAUUAAAUAAAAAGUGUGUUAACUACGAUGGAUGAGUUAGAGUAAAAAUUAAAAAUUAAAAAUAUGUAUAUUCCCAUAAAAUGCGAAACGUCAUAUUAGUGUUGUUUGUUUGUUGUUUAGGUGUGAUGGUGCUGAUAAAAUUUAAUUAAUGUGUUAUGUAAUUUUCAUGGUCUUUUAAAUUUCCCCAACCAACUAUGACUUGUAAUGAUUUUUGCUUUGCAUGUAAAUGGGUGAUGAAGGAUAUAACAAACUUAGGUGUGAAGGAAAAUCCACAAGCAUAGUAAAAAAAAAUAAAGAUCAGAUAGAAAAGAAAUUAAAACACAAAUAUUUGUUUACUUAGUUCGGUUCAAGAUGACCUACGUCUGAAGGAGAGAGCAGCUCUCUAAUCCACUAUAGUAAAGAAUGAUAUAAAUAGAUUAUAUGAAAUUAGAUUCCAAUCGCACAAAGAAUCACUCUAAUUUUUACUCAUUUUUCAAGUCACUCAAACCCAAAAUGAAAUAACAAAAGAGAAAGAUUUGAUCCUCCCUUUAAUGAGAUCUCAACUAUCCAAAAUAUUUGUGAAUUGUUUCUAAACUCAAGAAUCUCACUCAAAAACAUUCAACCUUUUGCAUUGCAUUUCCCUAAAAGUUCCUUUGGUGUUUAAAGAUUACCACGAAAAAUUGCACAAAGGAGGAAUGGUGGAACUCAUAUCUCAAGGAAAUUACGUCAUAUUUGUUGGUCGAUAUGACAAAAACAACGAUAACCUAGAGGAGGGGUGAAUAGAUUCCCCGAUCAAAAUUCUUCACAUGGAAACAUGGUGCGAAACUUUUCUUGAAAAUAAGUUUGACUAUUGAAAAUUAACAAUUGCCACAGUGAGACUAAGUAAAACAAUGACAAAUGAUAAUUCAAAUUUGAAUUAGUAAUUCACCCUUGAAUCAUUAUUAGGAGCAAACUUACGUACAAUUCCUUAGGUACUUUUUCAUAUAGUUCUUAACUAAAAAUACAUAUGUUUUGGAUAUAACAAACUUUGAAAAAAAGCAAAUAAGAAAUUGUACCUAAGUUUUCUCCUUAUUAUUCCUCAAGCAAUUUUUUUUAAGAACUUUUACUUACAAUUAAUUUUUUUUUUUUAAAUAACCACCACAACCUCAUCUCAAAUUUUUAUUUUUUAAGGACUCGUCUCAAAUUUUGUAUUCAUAUGAAAAGCUAACAGAUAUCCUUAAAAUAUUGUUUAAGCAUCCAAAAAUAAUAACUUUUACAUAAAAAGUUGUAUAAUUAUUAUUUUUUACUAUUACAAUGGAUUUAUAUAUUUUCAAAACAAAACAAAAAUCUUAUACUUAAUUUUUUAAACAAUACUAUAAAGGCAAUAAUUAUCAUGAUAUUUUAUCUCAAGUUUUUUAUCUAAUUCCUUUCACAUGCAACUUCAAAAGGAGAAAGUUGUCACAAACAUUUGAGCACACAUGCAAAAAUACAUGCAUCAUUCGUUCACACUAUUAUAAGCAAAAGGAUCAUAUUAACAAGUAAUUGAUGCAUCUGAUCUAUAGAGAUCAAAUGCAUCAAUUAUUCAAAGAAUGUAAAAAAAAAAAAAAAAUUUUGUUUAUAAUCGUAAUCAAAGGGUGUAUUUUUUAAUUAUUUAAAAAAUAUAAAUUAUUUUAUUCCAUUUUCUUUCUAACUUUUCUCAUGUGUGUGAGUGUAAUAAUGAUUACAAAUGGUAUAAGCAAAAUAGCUAAAGAGCAGGAAUAACCUUUUAUGUAUCUCAUGUGUUAUCGAUCAAUCUCGCAAAAACCCAAGAGCGCUUAGAUGAGAUGGAACGGAUCUCUUCUAGCUUAACCAAGGUUCUGGGUUUGAAUUCAGCAUUGGGCAUGCAGAAGCGUUAAAACUCUUAGGGAGAGCAUGUCGUGCAUUUGGGUCCCACAAUGCUCGAGGGAUUAGUCUCCGCAGUUGCGCGCGGAGGAUACUCGAUUUACACCAAAAAAAAAUCAAUCUCCCAAAUUGAAUAGAAAAAGGUGAGAUGUGUUUUUAAUAUAAAAAAUCAGAGUAAAAAAAUUUAAUGCCAAGAUUAAUAUCACAUUAGAGACACAAGAGAGGAAAAAAAAUCUUGAGGAGAAUUAUUAUUAUUCAUUUGUAGAGCACAUGGCAAUUGAUUCAGGUAACAUUGACAUUGCACAACAAACUAUUAGAAGAAGCAACCGUCUGCUAUAAAAUGAUAUUCAGAUUAGACAAGGUCCCAAAAGCUUGCUUUGUACGCAAUUUUGCUGUUGCAAAAUCAGUAUGUCUUCAACCUCUGAAUUGAUAUGUGAAGACAAAUGUUUUACAAUUUAUCUAUAAUCUUCGAAACAAUUUUCCUUAAAAAAACAUAAUCAUCCAUGUAGUAUGCAAAGUUUCAAACAUAUAUUGACACUGAUCCAUACAUCACUUUGUUUUUCAGAGCACCUAUGAAAAAAACUUAAUAUCAUAUAAUUUCGUUAUGAUAUAAACUAAAUGCAUAUUGAUCAUAAGAGUGCAACCAUGGUUCAAGUCAGUCAAAUGACACAUUAACAAAUAAGACAAAAGAAGAACAAAACCCGGACUCACAAUCAUUACUAACACUAAUAUCGAAUCAAGAUUAAGACUCAUAAACGAAUUUGAACAAAGCAAAGAUGUUAAAUUUACAUUCGAACAUAAAAAUAAUGAAAUCUAUAAAAUACGAUGAUAGAUGAUGAAUUUCUGGAAUUUUUUAUGGAUUUUCUGAAUAUUUGUUUUGAAGGUUUAUGAAGUUAGUUUGAAGAUGAUGAAGAAGGGGAGGAAAAAGAUGAAGAAAGAGGGAAAAAAAAUUAGUUGCUGGUGGUGCAAGAUUAGAUAUAGUCUAUCCGUUUUAAAAUAAAUGUCUUUUACACACAUAUUAAGAAAUACAUUAAUUAAAAGAAAGAGAAAUGUUAUUUUACCAAACUAUCCUAAUCAACUAUUAGUUUGUUUUUCAAGGAAAAAUAAUACUUUGAAAGUUGUGUAUAUAGUAUUAAUUGAAGGGUACAAUUGAAAAGAAUAAGUUAUUAUUGCAUUGGAAACUGAAAGUGACAUACAUUUUGAAACAACUUUUUUGGCUAAAACGACACUCACUUUGAUACGGAGGGAGUAGUAGACAAACAUGAUCUAAUGGUUGUAUUUUCAGAAAAAAUAUCAAACAGUUUAAACUAAGCAAUUUAAUAAGGUCUAUGAUGGACCACUUAUAAUGUUGGUCCAUCUUAGACAUUUGUGGUUAAAGUUAACAGAAGCAAAUCAAAUUGACUAACGGAGGUAUAUCUGAAGGACCGAAAAUAAAUUCUUAAAAUGUCAAAGUUGUUAUAUUUUCAUAAUUUUACACCAUACAAUUCAACUCCAAUCUCAAGCUUAAGUACUCAAUUAUACAUCAAUUAACUAAGUUUAGGUGUUUGGGAUUCAUUGGUAUGCCUUUAAAACUGAAAAACAACGAAAAAUCGGACUUCCCGCGCACAAGACAGGUCACGCGGUCAUGCCACAUGUGCGUACGGUCGUGCCAGGCUGACUGUAACACCCCAUUUUCCCAACUUAAAAAUUUCAUAACAAUUAUCAGAGUAUUCAACACAUAAACGGAAUGCUACACUUCUUAAAAUCAUAAAUAGAAUAAUAUUAUCCUUCCAAAAAUCAUCAACAUAUUAGUUCAAAACUUCGCAGCGGAUUUAAUUCAUCAACAUAAAUAGUCUUGGCACGUAGGCCUCAUCAAACAUCUCAUAAAAUUCAGUUAGACAAGAUAAUCAUUUAAAUUCAUAAAUCAAAUACGUAAGGAAUAGAAAAUAGCCACAAAAGAUCCCAUCCCGUUACGUAUCAGAGCACCUAAACGACUCAGUGAGGGAUAGCCACUCACGACAGCAAACAACAGCAAGCUACUCUCGAUCACCUGCAAGUUACUCAUACGAAGAGCAACAUUUCCAAGCAGAAGGGGUGAGAUUUCACAAAACAAUAAUAUUAAACAUAUAAUUCAACAAUUAUAUUUAACAACAUGAAAACAUCAUAAUAUCAUCAUAGAUAAUAAUAUAUCAUAUAUCACUUUAUUAACAGUUCAUAUAAAGAAUCACAACUUAACAUCUUGGCAACUUAACAACUUUGACUCGACAAAUGCGACUUCAACUUGACUAUGCAACUUAAACCUCUUAUAUGCAUGUGGUACCAAUCCAGGGCAUCAAACCCUCAACGUAAGUAUUAAUAUACUUCCAGGGCAUCAAGCCCUCAACUUAGUUGAGCUAAAGCUCCAGGGCAUCAAGCCCCCAACGUGGUGAGCAAAGGCUCAAGGGCAUCAAGCCCCAACAAUGAAUGCAAAUGCAUGGACUCAACGACUCAGCAUCUUAGAAACAACGACCUCGUAUAAAAAUCCAAUAAUUUGGAACAUCAUCUUUCAACUUAGACCGACUCAUGCAACUUAGUUAAAUAACAAACAGCAACAUAGGCAGUAUGCAAACCAGUUCAUGAUAUAACAAUAUCAAAUACAAUACAACAACAUCACAACAUUCAUAUAUAAUUCAAGUAAUGCAUAUACAAUUAUAUCACAUUAUAAACAACAACAAAUCAUAUUAUAACAGCUUCACAGAUCAUCAUUAAUAUCAUAAACAAUCUUCAUUACGACCCCAAGGUUCAACUCUCAACAACUCGUGCGACAAAGAUCGCAAAAUCCUAAACGAGCAUUCUGUAACUAGGCAACUCGCGAGGUGAGGGCCUCUACUUGCUAUGGCGAGUUCAGAAAAGUGUGCACUCGCUAUGGCGAACUCACUACUCGCCAUGGCGAACUGAAAAAGGGUGCUCUCGGGAGUUUGACAUUUUUCACUCAAAAAUCCAUCUUUAAACUUUCUCAGGUUCAAUCUCAAUCUAAAAACUUGCCUAAUCAUUAUUAUACGUGUUUAGGCACUCAAAAACAUCUAAGGUUCGACUUAAGGGUCAAAACUACAAAAUCAUGUUGACUCACUGGUCACACUCGCUAUGGCGAGUGAACUGCUCACUAUGGCGAGCUGCAGGGUAUGACUCACGAGGCGAGAAGAUGUUGUUCGCGAGGCGAGCGAUGAAGUUCAUCACUCGUUAUGGCGAGGAUCAUCACUCGGGAGGCGAGCGAUGAAUGUUGGCUCGGGCAGAAGUGCAGUUUUCACGAAAAUUAACAAAAUCACAUGGUUUUAAGCCUAACAUUGAUUCCUGUAAUCAUCUUAUGACUUAUCUAAGGUCUGUAAACAGUUUCUACAUCAAUCUAACAGUUCUACAUCAAUUAAUCCUCAAUUUCUCACUUUAACCCUAAUUCUCCAACUUCUCUAAUUCAAUCCUACACUUGUUAAAUACAACUAUAAGAAUUAUACAGAUUAAUAGAAUUGAAUGCUAGUCUCACCCUUACCUUAGCAAUGAAAAUCGCAGCUCUAAAGGUCCUCUUCUCUUCUCUUGGCUUUUUAUCCCUUUUCUCCAAAAACUGAUCGUACGUACUCUUUUUCUAAACUAGGUCUCUCCUAUUUAUAUCUCCUCUAUCUAUUUUAUCUUAUUACUCUUACUCCCCCAAAACUCUCUAAAAUCUCAAAACAACCCCUCAACUCAAUAUUUAUUUUAUUUUCAAAUCUUAUUUUAUUAAACAAUAAAAUAAGUCACAACUCCUCAUUAAAUCACAUAAAAUCACCUUAAAUCACACAUAUCAUAUAAAUAUAUUCUAAACUCAUCUUAAUAAAUUCUAGACUCAACUAAAUAAUUAAAUAAUUCAAGGAGGGCGUUACACUGACAGUACAUGAUUUCCGCAUUUUUAUUCUUUCAUUGUUCGUCGUGCGCGACUCCGUUUUUAAAACCGUUUUCGAUCUCGAUCGCGCCAAAAUAAUCUCAAUCACUUAAACCGUUUAAACCCUACUAUUCAUUCUCAUUCUUACUCAAAAACAUUUCAAUUCAACUUAGCUCAAAACAACUUAUUUCACGUAAUCACUUAAAAACGACUUUUAACUUAAAAACUCGUUUUUUCCGAAAUUCAAUUUCACACCCAAGACUCACAACCAAAACAAAAUUUCAUACUCAUUACUCCUCAUUAACAACUUUACCAAUAAAAUCAUAAAGCUCAAUUCAUCAAACUUCAUUUCACGAUUAAUCAUCCAUUUCUCACAAAAAUUCACCAACAACCACGACUUAACCUAAACAUCACAUUUAACAUAAUCACUUCCAUGAAUUUCAACAUACAAACAUACCCAAUCACAUAGCAAACAAUUAGAACAUAGUUUGAGCAAUAAUCAUCAACAAUCUCAAGAACAACUUAUUCUAUAUCAUCAAAGAUGAGUUUAAGCAUGUAAACAACUUAAUUUCACAAAGUUCAUCAUACUCAUAAUUAACAUAAUUAAUUUGCACGAAAAUCAGCUUAACACAACACCAAUUUCACGAAAGUCACAAAAACAAACAUGACCCAUAACCACUCUAUCACUCAUAAUCUCUAAAAGGUGAAUAUUAACUUUCCUCUUACCUUAACCUUUCAAAAUCUAACUUUAAUCUUCAACCUGCUCUCCCUCUUGAGCUCCUACAAGCUAGAUCUCCCUUUCUCUUAAAAUUCUUCUUUCUCCUUCUAACUUUCUAUUUUUCUCUCUUAUCUCAACUUUGCCCCUUUUCUCUCAAAUGUUAGAAUGAGCUCUUAACCUAAUUUUCUCAAAGACUACUUUUCUUGUAGACUAUUACUUUUUCCACCCAUUGGUUACUCAUGUACCUUAUUUUUUUACGAAAAUACCCUUCUAAAAAUGUAAUCUGAAUUAGUCUGGAUUGUAUAAUCUGAACAGUCUCAGUCCCACCCUAUUGAUUACUCGUGCACCCUAUUUUUUUACGAAAAUACCCUUCGGAAAAUGUAAUCCGAACCAGUCUGGAUUGUAUAAUCCGAACAAUCUCAGUAUAGACAGUACUGGACAGAACUGACAGUUUUUGCAUGUUUUUUUUUAAAUCCAUACAUUUUUUAAGAUAAACAAAAUUAAGUUAGAGACAAUUAUGAUAAAGUUGCACCAAAAAAUAAUUAUAUAUAUAUAUAUAUAUAUAUAUAUAUAUAUCAUUAUACAAAAAAAAGUUGAAUUUAUAUCAUUAUAAAUUUAACCUAAUGAUAUACAUUUUAACUAAUGAUAUAAAUUCCCCGAAAAAAUUAUGAUAUACAUUUAAUCUAAACCGCCUCAAGAUCUAUGUCAAUAUCAUCAAGAUUAAAGUUAUCUUCCUUUUCAAGCUUCACACCAUCUUCAGGCUUCUUCCCAGCAACAACCUUUUCUUCUGGAUAAAGAUUUUCAUUAAUGUACAAAUUUUGGUUAUCGCCUAUGACUUCAAAACCCGUCGUCCGACAUAGUUCAUUAUACUCGGCCAUUCGCCUGACAUAUCUAUCAGGCCAGCUUAAGGCAUCAUCAUGAGCGUGUUGUCUCCAUAGCGAGCAAGUGGGAGGAAUAGGAGAACCCACAACAACAUUUUGGUCUUACAGGAACGCCAAAAAACUGUAGUAAGAUGCAAAAAAACCGUUGCGUUUGGGUACCAGAACGCUUUUACCGCUGUGGCAGACUGAGGCGUUAUGCUUGCCUUUUGCUACGGUUUCCGUUUAAAACGGCCACGACUAACAUAUAACCGUAGUCUUAUCUUAGCUUUGUAAAACGGUUUUCAAAAUUCUAUAAAGCUACGCUUUUCCUUCGUUUCCAUUUAAAAUCCGUAGUGAAUUAAAACUUUAGAGAACACUUAUUUACUGGCAAUUGCAACGGUUCUGGUACGUGGAGGAUUAGAAAUCCGUUCUUGAUAAAUAUUCUCGUAAACUACAACAACGGUUUCUCACCGUUUCAAUAAAGAAAAGAAUUUUUCUAAAAAAUAAUCGUGGACCAAUUAUUUUGGUCACGGUGAUUCUCACUUUCAAAAAACCUUGUAAUAAUUAUAAAUUAACUUAAACAAUAAUAUUCAUGCAAUUUUUUACAUGUAAUAUCUCGAAUUAAACAACUAUAUAACAAAAUGAAAUACUUGUUAAAUAUAUAUAAAAAUAUAUUAUUUUGUUAAUCUUUAAUGAAUAGAUUAAGAUUAUCUUUGAUCACAAUUAACAUCUUUGAUAUAUAUAUAAACACAGACAUCUAUAUCUUUUCAUCUUGUUCUUCCAAAUCUUCAAAAUUUUCAUUGAUAUCAUCAUUAUUCAUCUGCAAAAUAAAAGUAAAGUGUUCAAUAUAUAUAUAUAUAUAUAUAUACAAACUUCUUAUAAAUAAAAGAGAGUUGGAGUUGAUGUAUGGAAUCAAGAUAGUGUAAAGAAAGACUAUUGUAAAUAAGAAAAGGAGUACAUCAACAUUAAAAUGAUGCAUAAAACUAAAACAGACUCAUACCUAUUAAUCAUUAAAAAGAAUGAUGAACUAAGACCUAUACACCCUCUCUCAUUCUUGAUUUGUAACAAACCUACUGAUGCAUAAGUUUUAAACAUAAAUUCUAUUUAAAAUAUAAUACCAAACAAAUUAAAAAAAAGGAUAAUGAAGGAAAAGUGGUGGAUUAAAAGGAACUGCUGAUGAUUUUUGAGGAAAGGGACUGCAUAGAGUGAAAUUUAAGAUCCCUAAAUCGAAGAUAAGAUAAUUACAAACAUAGGCAAGCUUGGAAUCACAUGAUAACUUCAUACAUUAUUCAUGAAAGUGACAUCUGCUUGGAAAAUGCCUUUAGAGAAUUUGAAGUACAUUUCAGAAAAAUGUCAUUCUACAUGAAUUUUGAAUACAUUUCAGUCCUUUGAGAAUAUUAACUUUCUAGUAAUCCUACUUUAAAAUAUGUGUUUGAAAUUUGCAUGAAUUUUUCUCUAUGCAGAGAUUUACCUUUCUAAGUGUUUAUUUGAAAAAAUUCAUGUCAAUUAAUAUUAGCUUUGAUUAUGAUAAUAUUUCUAAAAAGUGUACCGAGUUGUUUGUUUAGAUAUUCUUAACAAAAAAACACUUUCUAGGAAGGGAGUAUGAGUGAUUUAGUUAUUUCUCCACUCAGUAUGGGGUAUCUUAGCCAAGUUAUCCUUGGCAAAUGAUAUAAUACCUUUGUUGGGAUCAGAAGCAUAUAUCAGUCAUAUAUAUCACUAUUGAGAAUCCAUAUAUUGGAUCAGAGACCAUGAAAAUACUGCUUAAACUGAAAAUGAAGUAGAAAUUGAAAAUAAACUGAACAAACAUCUUUGUACACUACUAGUAGAGUUAAUUUUCAAAAUUUCACUAGUCUUCAACAAAACUCACUAAAAAUUACAGCUAUCAAUACAUGUUAAAUCCAAAUACUCACUAAACACUUAUAUUAAUUAAUUAAAAAUAAAGGAACCCAUCAACUAAACACUAACCAUAGCUUAAUAUUUUACACAAAAAAGAGGAUUGAAUUAACAAUGAAGUACCUAAUACUAAAGUAUCAGGAAAAAUCAAAAUUCUACAAAAUCAAAAUUGGUAAAAUUGAUGAUCAAAUACACAAUCCUAAUAGCUCAGCACUAACAAAAUUGAAAUUUAAGAAAUAAAAACACCACAAAAACAAACCAAAUUGAAUUGAGAGACUGGGAAGAAGACUUACGGUGGUGAGAUUUGGAAGAAGACUUAAGCACCAGAUUUUUGAAUGGGUUCAACGCUGUUGAAGCUCUUGAGAUUUUCGAAUGGCUUCUGAGGUUCGAAAUAAACCAAAAUAUAUAAAUCAUAUUGCAUACAAUACAUUUAAGUCGUAAUAAACCAAAAACGAAUCGUUCAAAAUUUAAACUACAUAAUAUAUAAACUAACAUACCUAUAGAUGCACUUUACGCUUUCUGAGUGAAAUUAACAAAAGAAAUUAACAAAAUAUAUAUUAUCACAGGUUCUACUGUCACAGUAUCCUAACACAUCUAAUUACAUCAAAUAUUAUGUAAAUUAUGCAAAGAAAAAAAGUAAUACAGUUUCAUUGUUUUAUUGUCACAAGUUCAUUAUAAAAAAUUAUGUAAAAUAUUAUCACAGGUUCUACUGUCACAGUAGCCUAACACAUCUUUGUUUCAUUGUUUUAGAACUACUACAGUUUCCAUUGCUUUCUGCUUAUUAUUCUCUUUUAGGAAAAAAGUUUUGCAUCAGAUAGCAUGAAAAACAAAUUGAAACAAUAAAAUAGUCUUCAGUUGUUAUUUGUUAACAAAUUUAGAUGAGAAAACAAUGUAGUACUGUUAUCACUUUGCAUCGCUGGAUAUUACAAGCUUAUGGCAUCAAUUUGAUAGAAAAGAAUGAGUAAUUUUAAUAACACUAAAAACAACACAAUCCCACUGCAAAUAACCCUAAAAACAACAGAUGGAAGGAAAAAUCAUUGCAAUCAACUAAAAAACAUAUGUAAUCAUCAAAUCAGAAUCAGAAUUGAAGACAAUUACAUUCAAUUUCACAUUAACUUACAAGUUACAACAAUUAGGGUUUGUUGUGGAGAGAGAUGUCUCUAAACUAAAGAAUCAAAACAGAAGAUGGAGGAGUAUGCAGUGGUGAUGGAUGGAGAAGGAGGAGAGUGGUCGCGGCUCACCAGCGGUGGUGUGGUGGUGGAUGUAAUGUUCGGUCGCUUGCUUUGGUUGGGAGAAGAUUCGCGUUCUCAGACGAAAGAGAAAGGGUUCGAUCAGCUUAUGCGUUUUUUUCUUUUUUUUGGUGAAGGGAUCAGCUUAUGCGUUUCUUUUUGGAUAUUGUAUUUUUAUAAUUUUUCUUUUUAUUCUUUUUUUUAGUUUUUAUUAAAUAAUAGAGUUUUUUUUUUUUUUUAAAGCAAAUUGUUUUUUUUUCAAAGGGCUGUUGGGUAUUUGGUUUUUAGAACGGUAUUUUUUGUUAUAUUAAGAUUUUUUUGUUACAAUUUUUAAGAACGGUAUUUAACAAAGUUGUUACUCGUACUUUUAUUAAAGAUAAUUAAAAAUUAUACCAGAACGGUUAAUACAUGUUGAUAAAAAUAACAAAUAAAAAUCCGUUCUCGUUUCUUAUACCACAACGCUUUUCAGUUGUUACAAAUAAAUUUAAAAAAUAUCAUACGCUACUAAAACAGAAUCAGAAAAUCGUUGUCCAUGGGACUCUACCAGAACAAUUUUUUUACCUUCCAAAAUUUAGGCGUUGUCGUAGAGCCAAAAUGUUGUAGGGACCACUCUUCGAAUGUAUAAUCAUGAAAUGGUUGUCAUUCACAUGUGUCAAACACAUUAAUCGCUCAACAAGUGGCGGUUCACCCCAUAGAGGAAAAAAAGGUUUCAGAUCGCCCUUUCUAAGUGGACAGUAGAACAACGACGUGGUUGUAUUAUUGUGCAAUGAGAAAACCCAUAUCUGCAUGGUCAUCCAUUUAUCCGGUGGUGCAGGACCGAUAUGACGUAGUCUUCGGCAAAACAAACUGUCGGAAUUGUUCUUUAAUAUGCAACUUCAAGUUGUAGUCCACGUUCUUGAACUGGGCCUAGAAUGCGUUUUAAAAACAGCCAGAUUAAGAAGUAAUGGAAAAAACAUGCAAUUUGUGAAAAAUGUGCUCUCUGCAUCUGUACUGAUGCAUUUCAGAUUACAUAAUUCGGAAAGAUUUAGUACAUUUCGGAUUAUGUAAUCUGAAUGAAUACGAUACACCCCAUGCAUUCGUCCUAGUUCACGUCGCAUGGGGCGUAAAUGUGAUAUUUCCGGAUUUCAUAAUCCGGAAUUUGCAAAACCGGCUCCGUAUUAUGAAAUCCGAAGUGCAUCAGUACAUACAGAUAACAUAAAAACUUGGCAGAACAGAGGCAGAAAGUCAAGAAAAUACCUGAAGCAAAUCUUAUUCCGGUAGCAGAGAGAUGUCUUCCUUCCUAUCCUUCAUGUCAACCUCAUACUUAAACCUCAACCUCUUUUAGUAAGUGUGAAUUUCAUCCAAACGAAUGGUGAUGUUGUUCUUGAUCUUCAAUGCAAUCACCACGCACACGACAAUCCGAAAGUGAUCUGACUCAAACAACCAAAUUUGGAUUUAUCCGUUCCGAUAUCGAGUGCUCGAUCGGCCUCGUCUGCGAUAUAAUGCAAAACUUUUCUUGAUAUGUUUUGAAUCAAGUUAGACCAUAAACGCUUUCCAUUGAAUCUAUGUUCAAGCAUGAUAAUGCUCGUCUGGAAGGAAACGCGUGUGUGAGUAUGUUGUGACUGACUCUAGCAUGUCGUGAACGGAUUCCCAGUUUGUACUUAAAUCACCCAUGAUGUUAGUCAGAUAGUUUUUCAACCGGUUGUAUGCAGAUUCAACUCUGUUAGUUGUAGUAUUCUCCAUAUGCAUGACUUGAUUCACCCAAUACUUCACUGGACCCAACAUAGUACUUUCAACAUAUUCCACAAACUUGUGCCAUUUUUCGCAAACAACUUUGAACCGGUUACAAUUAUCAACAUACGUUUUUUCCGUAUCAGAAUCCAUAAUAUCCUCCCAUGCACGCAUGAUCGUCUUCACCAUUGAAUUUGGCUUUAUAACUUUGCCAUCCUUGCCUUUGAGAUCAUUCACUUUGCAAUCCGUCUUACACUUUGCUCUUACAUUCCUUUCAAUAUGAUACUCACACAACAAAGCAGUAGACUCAGGGAAAACGGUAUCCACAUCAUUCAUCAAAGCAUUGUCAUGAUCCGUGACAACUACUUUGGGGUAAAGAUCUUUGGAAUGCAACAGUUUGCGACACCUCUCAAGAGCCCAAGUAACGUGUUCUUCCUUCUCAUACAUCAUAUAAGUAAAUCCUAUGGAGAAUAUCAGCUGGGUAAAAGUGUUAGCGACAAACUCAAGCAAUGGAAGACGGUACUUGUUGGUAUUAUAUGUGGAAUCCAACACAAGCCCCGUAGAGAAUGUGUUAAACAACUUGAUACCGUUCGGGUGCGCCCAAAAUAUAUCACUAAUAUAAUCAAAAUCACGAUAAUUCCUACAAGUGUACACAUACUCAUUCUCAACCAACGAUUUCAAGAGAUGUUGCAUGUCGGUUCUCAAACCCCUAAUCCUAUACCGGUGAGUAGCAUUAUAAACAUGCUUGAUUGUAGUUGAAGUGUGUUUGUUCCUCUUCCUUAAGUUUGGUAAGCAUUUGCCUCGGAGGAACCUUCGGCUCAGCCAUCUCAUAAAGGUGCACACGUUCAUUUGGAUUUAGACUUCCGACAGUUUUAUGACCUUUCAGCACAUCUGCCAUGUCAUGGUUGUGUGUACCGUAACCAACUUUGAUGCUCAAAUCACACUCACCAGCAAUCAACAAAUAACCUCUCAGCCGAAACGUACACUCGCAUUUAACUGAACCUGCAAUUUUGCACCGAGUCUUCCUCUUGUACUCCCUGUAUGAACCUCCUAUUUCACAUAUCACGGUAACAAAUGCACUUCUUCCAUUGUCAUCUUUAUCGGAUUUACCAAUGACGAUUGUAAAUCCAAGCUUCCUUGCUUUCUCUCGAACCUACUCCAACAAAUCAUUCCGCGUAGAAAACUUUUUGUUUGUGGUAAAAUGUUCUUCAUGAUUAAUACAAACAACAGGAGGAAUAGGAGUAAGUACAUCACCAUCUACUUCUGCAUCACCUAAGAAAAUAUCAUGUUUCGGUGUUGGUGGUGGGGGGAUCGACUUUGGCAUUUUCGGGAUCAUCUAAAACUUCAAGUGAAACAACCGGCAACACACUAGAAGGUACAAUAUCAGGUUGUUUGUCAAUGGAGGCAUCAACGAGAACAUCCAUUACUGAAACAGUGCAAGAGUAAGGUUAGAAAAUGCACAUAGUUUUUAUACUGGGUGUUGUUCGAAUUUCAUAAUUCGAAAUACAUUGUUAGUUUCUGGAUUACAUAUUCCAAACUGCUCCAAUAUAGAUUACCUAACGUGAUCGAAAGGAAAGCACCUAGAAUUCGAAUGAGGGAAGGUUUAUAUACACAUUACCUUUGCAUUCAGUCGAGAAUGAUGAUGUUAAGGCAUCUUGAUGACCAGAUUGCUGCUCCAAAUCACAAUUUCGCGCAAAAUGGUGUGUUUCUAAAGGUGUAGGGAGUGUUGGGAGAGAAAGGUGGUGAACUGCAGCUAGGUUCUGGGAUGUCUUAUAUAUUCAAGGUUUCCGGAUUACGUAAUUCGGAAACUUCCGUUACUUUUCCCGCUUUUUUUAAAUAUUAGGGAUUUUGAAUUUUAUAUUCUGGAUAAAGUAUACUGUGUCCGGACUACAUACUCCGGAAAGGUUUACACCCUUCUAUUGGCCAGGAUCAAACUUUGACAUAGCACAACACAUGUUUUGAAACAUUUUGAAUUUCGUAAUCCAAAACGUGUCCGGAUUGUGUGAUCCAAACAAGAAGUAAUUUGGUCAAGCGCACAGGGCGCGCAAGAAUGGACAAGGGUGGGAAAAGUAAUAGUCUUUUUUAUAUACUCUUGGGCUUAGUCACACUCACUAAUGGGCUUAGCAAACUUUCUACCACUCAUAAAAUGUUACUACACAAUUACCUCAUUAAAACCCCCACUAUUACUCAUACACCACUAUUCUAUUAAUUAUCCGAGUUACUACCAACUUCCUUACAUACUCUCCAUACCCAAAAUUACUAAAAUACCCUUAAUUUCUAUAAACCCCAAUUAACCCAAUAAAUAAAACACACCAAUUAAUUAAAUAAUAAAAAAAGCUAUUAAAUAAUUAAAAUCCUAAAAUUGGGUCGUUACAAUAUUCUCUUGUUGCAUCAUAAGUCAUACGAUAUUUCUUCUUUUGGUAAGACAAAGAGCAUAAUGUUUAUUUCUUCUCAAUGAUGCAAAUCUGGAUAUAAAUAUAAAGUUCACUUUUUGUCCUUUUGCUUGAUUGCCAUUUUGAUGAAGAUAAUUAUUUGUGAAACUAGAACGUUCUUGAGAGCUUUCUUAAUGAAACAUUUCUCACAAAACACAUUAGUAGAUAACAAGAUAAAAUAAUUUUUAUAUGUGUGUAAUCCUUAACACAUCAAUUGAGGAUUUUGUUUUCAAUAAACAUUUUCUCAAUAGCAUUGAUGAGAGAGUUCGGAAGAAUGAUAUACUUAUAACAUAUGAUGAGAUUGAUUGAAUGACCUAUUUGAUCAUUACCUCACGUUUAGCUUUGGAUAGACAUUUGCUACUCUAAGAGUUGACUUUCUGCCAUAUUCUAUCCUUGAUAAAGCCAAAGGCGGUCUCUUUAAUUUAAUCAUUGACAACAACCCCAAAUAUUUUCAUAUGGCCAUCAUUACUCAGACACCUAGAAUAUUUGUUAUAGCAUGUUGCGUGGGUUUUUGUACAUUGUUGUCGUAAAAAAUCUCAAACUUCACCAAAUUAAUCGCAUACUCAGAAGCAUCUUCAUAGGUCAAUAUAAUAUCCUUUAUUACUUGCGCUUAAUGCUUAGUAGCUCUGAAAAAACAGUCAUAUGCAAACAAUAGGUGAGAAACAAUGAGCGUGUCAUGACAAAUGCUAAUGCCGUAUAAAUCACUGCGACCAUCAACUUUCUGAAUCAGAGUUGAUAGACCUCCUAGACAUAAUGAUUAAAUAGGGUGACAAGGGGUCACCAUGUCGCAACCCUUUGAUAGGCAUAAUAGGACCCACCAUGUCAUUGUUCACAAUCACUGAAUAUCUAGUGAUUCAAUGCACAUCAAAAUACACACGACCCACUAAGGGCCAAAACCCAUCUUCAACAUACCUUCCAUCUGGUACACCUAAUCUAUUCGAUUACAAGCCUCACUAAUAUCCAACUUUAAUGCUACAUUACGAUCAUUACCACGCUUCUUAAGCUUCAUGUGAUGCACCACUUUAAUUUUUUUUGAUAAGAUGCACCACUUUAAUUGUUACCAUUGCAUUAUUAAGAAUUAACCUUUUAGCAAAAGAAUUAACCUCUCUCUUAAAAAAAAACUGAUUAUCAUAAAUACAUUUAUGCAACAAUCUCUUCAACCUAUUAGCAAGCAUCUUUGCAACAACUUGCACAAUCCAACACAUUAUAAAAUACAAUUGGUCAUCGGUCUUUCAUCGUCGCACAACACUGUAAUAUUCUGUCACCCUAAAAGAUAAACUUGAAAUUUAAUUUCGGCUUUACUUUUUUUUUUGGUCUUAGAUGAAUUCACUGAAAAUAAACUCACACACAACUGUGAGGUCCCAGAUUUGAACUCGAACCAUGACGUCCGACCUUACAAUUUCGGCAUUUGCCAGUUGAGCUAAGACUUAUAAACAUUUCGGCUUUACUUUACUUUUUUUUUCCUUGUUACUUUGUACUAACACUACCAAAAAAAUAAAUAAUAAUACUGUUAUAGAUAAUAAUAAAAAAAAAAAAUAAAGACAAAAAAGCAUCCUUAACAAAAAAAAGACAAACAAAGUAGAAAAAAAAAAAAAUAAAAAAAAAAAUAAAGACAAACAAAGUAGAAAAAUAAAUAGCAAUUUUCAAUAUUUUUUGUUUGGGUAAUGCGAAUGCCUUUGUUCUCCGUUAUUCAUCUUCUUUUUCUUUCUAUCAAUUUUCUCUCUCAUCCCAUUUUCUCUCUCUAAAAUCUCAGGAUUCUCACGCCGCUAUUGUCAUCUCCUCCUUCGAUUCCAGGUUCGCUCUCUCUAUCUUCGAUCCAUUCAUUCCCACCCCAAUUUUUCAAUUCCACUUUUUCCAUUUCAUUCCAUCAAUUUUUUCGGGGUUUUUCAAUUCCACUUCAUUUCUUCGAUUUCGAUCAAUUUUUCUCAUUCAAAUCGUUUCCUUAGAUCUUAUUCGCUUUUACUGUAUUCAUUCUUAUUAUGAAUUUUCAGUUUUCACUUUCAUGCAAUUUGCGUUAGUAACUGUUUUUUGUGUUAAUUUAAUUUGAUUUGUUUUGGGUUUAAUUUUUAAAAAAUUUCAAUCUAUAUUUUAGGGUUUAAUUCAUGGGUUUUUUGGGUUAAUAUUUUUAGUUAGGUUUUUGGGUUCAAUAGUAUUAGAAAUGAAUUAUUUUUAGGUUAUCUUAAAUUAUCAUGUGCUGAUUUCAUUUGAUGAAUUGUUACCAUUUGAAUUUGAAUUUGUUGUGUACUUAUAAUUAAUUUUUCUGCCACAAUGUGUGCUUAUAGUUAAUUUUUCAUGUGGUGCUGUUAAUUUAUAAUUGUAAGUAGUAGAAGUUGACUUUUUGUAAUCAGUACGUAGGAUCUAUGAAGCAGGGACAGGUUGACACGACAUAAUUUUUAAAUGAAUUAAUUGAACAAAAUUACAUGCCAGUGUCAUGUCGGUGACACAGACACAUGUUGAACACUGGACACACCUUCAAUCAGAAGUGUCGAUGCUACAGUGUAGGAUUUUUUGCGAUGCAGUUGGAAAUGUUUGCAUGAUUUAUUUAUGCGAAAAGGUUGUUUGAAUGGUUUACUAUGAUAUAACACAAUGUGGGGUUUUAGGGUAUUGAUUUCGGUGCUUUGUUUUUGUGAUUCUAUGCUGCAGCUGUUAUAAGAAGAGUGUUAGUGAAAUAGUGCUUGAUCAAGAAAUGGCUGGGGUUGCGAGUGAGGAAUCUGGAGCGGGAAAGUCUGUGGAGGGAAGUUAUAGUGGGCACCGUGGGGAAGAGUUGGCAGAAUGGCGAUCUUCUGAGCAGGUGGAAAAUGGAAUUCCGUCGACUUCACCUCCUUACUGGGACACCGACGAGGAUGAUGAUGGUAGUGAAUUUACAAUUGUUAGAAUUAGUUUUCUAUCAACAGUUGUUUAAAAUCUAAUGUUUUUUUAUUUUUUUUCCAUUUAACAGGACCAAAACCAUCGGAGUUGUAUGGAAAAUAUACUUGGAAGAUAGAAAACUUUUCAAAGAUUACCAAAAGGGAACUUCGUAGUAAUGCAUUUGAAGUUGGCAACUAUAAGUGGUAUGCGGCUUUCGAUAAACUUAUUGGCAUACAUGUUUAUGAACAUUUUGUAACCAGAUAAACCAUUGCGUCUUUUGUCAUUCAUGUUGUUGUUUCAUGAAUCUAUGAGUAUUGACAAUUAAUUGUUUGUGAAAUGCAUUUAUCUAUACACAUCUCUGUUAAGAGGGAAAACUAUUGGUUUGGGUUACUUAGUGUUUCCUAUACAUUAUGACUUUGUAACCAUCUAAUUUGUUAAAUAAGGGGAAUAUACUUUACUUGAUUUGUGAAAGGUGCAUUAUAUAUCAGAAGUAAGUAGAAUACAAUGACAUAAUUAACAUACCUGAUUGCAUAUGUUACUGAGACAUUCCUUAAGAUUUGACAGAUACCAUGCUUUAUAGUUGGGGUUUGGAUCUAAUGGUGAUGUAAUAUAUGGCAGGUAUAUUUUAAUUUACCCACAAGGUUGUGAUGUAUGCAAUCAUCUCUCUCUGUUUCUUUGUGUUGCUAAUCAUGACAAACUUCUUCCAGGUUUGAUUCUUGAAUUUUCACAUUGCAUUUAUGAUUUUUUAGUUUUCCUAGCUACUCUUAAUCCAACAAUACUUGACUUCUUUUAUAUUUACCCUUCCUUUUGUGGGCAAUGCAGGAUGGAGUCAUUUUGCACAAUUUACAAUAGCUGUGGUUAACAAAGACGCCAAGAAAUCAAAAUAUUCUGGUCCGUUAGUAAAUAAUUACCUUAGUUAUUGGAGUUACAGUUUUUUGAAACAGCAUUAUUAACCUAUUUUACCUGAAAUUUUUUAGAUACAUUGCACCGGUUUUGGAAGAAAGAGCAUGACUGGGGAUGGAAAAAGUUUAUGGAGAUUUCGAAGGUGAGAGACGGCUUUGUUGACGAGUCUGACAACCUGAUAAUAAAAGCUCAAGUUCAAGUCAUUAGGUUGGUGUUCUAUAUGCUUAAUUUUUUAAGUUAUUUAUAUAUACAAUAUUACAAAUAUGCAUCUCCGUGUAUGCAUGUGUUUUUGACUUUGUUACUUAUCUGGAAAGAAGAAAACACGAAUGUUCUCUAAUCUACUAGUGUGAGCGACUCUUCCUUUUUUGAAUGCAGUUUAUUUGAAAUCUUAUAGCUAGCAAGAAACGAUACUCUUUCUUUGUUGAAAUCUUCUGAAUAGUUUUUUGCGAAGUAGGUUAUGAAUACCUUCAUAUCAUUGUUUUAACAUUCAUCUCUGGGAUUGUAAACCCCAGAUCUCAUUUUUGUUAUUUUGCAACCCAGCAGUAUUUUCAAUGACAUUGUUUUCGCAAAUACUUUGACUUAGUAUGUACCUACAUCUACUUAAGAGUAAGGAUUUCUAUUUUCUUUAGGUCUAUUAGGUAUUGUUCUUUUUUGGUAAACCCCAUGUUCUGUCAUGUUGUGUUUUAUAUUCGAACAAAAUUGCCCAAGAGUGUAACCUUUUGCAGCUAGCAGCUUCAACUCUGAAGAGAGAUGAAAUUCCUAUUUUAUCCUCCAUUUUCUCCAUUGGCUACUAAUUUCUGGGGAGAUGAAAUUAGUCUCCCUGCAUUUAUCAAUAAAACCCCAUAGGCCGUAAGGCAACCUUUUGUUUGCACACCAGUGUUCUUCCUACACAUUUUCCAACUACUUCCCUCAAGCAAUUUUAGGCCAAAUCCUUCUUUUUCUGUUUUCAAAUAAACCAGCAUUUGUUCUUAGGUCUUGUCGCUGCCGCCUCUGUUUCACAUACCUUAGUCAUUCAUAGCUUCUUUCUGUUGCACAUAGCUCUAUUUCUUUAACUAGUGAUGGGGUGUGCACUACCUGUUUCUUUCCCUUAUUCUUGAAUUUUUUUCGUUGCUGACAUAUUAAUGUUGUGUAGAUUGAUAGUGAUUGUAUGUCAGGACUAUGGCUUUUGUUUAUUAAUUAUGAAUCUCUGUAGUUAUGGGAAAUUUUUUAUUUGACCAUUUGUAUUUACGAGUAUAAUUUUUUAAUCCCGUAUCCAUAAUCUUCAAUACAGCCGUAAUCUAAUGAUCCAUUAUAUUGUUUUUGGAAUCAGCUGCUCUGUGCUGCUGUCCAGGAUUGACUGACCUAUAACUAUCUAAUGUGGACUGUUGUUGGAUUUUGUUUAAUACGCGUUAAUGUGAAAUUACAAAAUGAGGCCAAAAUUUUAAAGGGCUUACAACAUGUACGACAUUUAAGUGUUUUUAUAUAUAAGGUGUUUUUAAAAUGAUUUAAAUUUAGCUUACAACAUGUUGUAAGCUUUAAAUUUAGCUUUAAAAUGAUUUCUAUCUCAUUAGAUAUCCUUGUUGAAGCGGUGAACUGGUGUUUCCCUUAAGUUGACUUACUAUAAUAGGUUAAUGAAUAGCACUCUAGGAUGUUUAGAAGAAUUACACGCAUGUCCCCCACAUAUCUUGUUACAUUGGUUACCCAAUGCAUACCAAAGUCACCCACUAUUUUAUUAUAUUCUGAUGGUUAUUCCUGUGGAGGAGCUUCAAAUAACCAGUUUUUAUCGUUAACACCCUAAAGACUGCCAAUUAGUAAUUGGCGUUUUAAACAGAUAUUCUGGGUUCCUUCUUCAGAAGCUUUAAAUUUAGCUUUAAAAUGAUUUCUAUCUCCUUCAAAGAUUUUUUAUUUUUGCUGAAAAUUGUUAUCCUAUUGGAAGGAUAUAAAAACAUUUUCUAUGACGUGUUUAAGUUUGUUCUGCUCGACCUAGGUAAACCUCUGCUAACAGAUGUACACAGCAGAUUGACUGUUGUAUGUUGGUUCGUUUGGUUGUAAUUUUGUGAGGCUCUCCUGCUUUCUGGUGUUUAAAUUAAUAUACUCUUGAUCACGAUAUAACACCUACCUUUCUGAAACUAUGCUGCUGUUGGAUUAUAUCUUUUUACUUUCUUAAUUGCUUUUAUUUGCAUUAGUGCAACGUGCUUUGUAGCUUUUCAUUCAGAUGUAUGACCAUAUGUUUUUUUAAUGCACAGGGAAAAAGCUGACAGGCCUUUUCGUUGCCUUGAUUGCCAGUAUAGGAGAGAGCUUGUUAGGGUCUAUUUGACAAAUGUAGAACAAAUUUGUCGGCGUUUUGUGGAGGAGAGAAGAAGCAAGCUUGGGAAGCUGAUAGAGGAUAAAGCUAAGUGGUCAAGGUAUUUUGUAUUCAUUAGUAUUACCUUUUGAAAUAUAUAAAUAGGGAGCUUAUCAAGUGAGAAGAGUGGAGUGUCUUAUUGUGAGAGAUGGGGGUUAAAUAGUCACCAUUGUACUAAAAUGAAAGGUCCAGAUGCAAUUUCAAUUUUAAACUGAACGUUGUUCUUCUCUUUUGUAUAUCCACUCGCUUCCUCCCCUCUCUGCACCAUUUCUCAUUUGCGGUUCUACUACAAUUUUGUUUUCGAAAAUGACUUCUCGAAGUCAUUUUUCUGUCUGGUGAUGCGUGUUAUUGUUCUUGCCAUAUUUUCCUGAUCUUGAUUACUGAAAGUAUUUUUGUGUUUUUCUUUCAAAUUUUUUGACUGCAUAAAAUUUUGACCAUUAGUAGAACAAGCAUGUGCGAAUCUUGUCAGGUUUCCAUGAACCCCACACUUGAGGCUUGACCACCUAAAAUGAAAUCAACCACACUUUUUUUAUAAUCUGAUUGAAAAAACUGAAAAAUUUGAGAGACAACUGUGCAUGAAUUGCGUACAAUGAAUUGGACGUGAGUAAAAAGGGGGAUGUCCGAGAGAGAUGGCGUAGCACCCAAUAUAUAUUUAUUAUUUAAAAGGGAAUUUGAUCCGGAUAGUUACUUUACAUCCUAUUUACAUCCUAUUGUUUAUAUUUUCCGCUCUCAUCUCUCACAAUAAGACGCUACUCUUACUUGAUAUGCCCUCUCUCUAUAUGGAAUAUCAAUUAUCUCCUUAUGUCUGCUGUUAUUCUUUAUCUUGAUCAAAAGUGUAACCUAAAACGUGAGGAUUUUUAAAUUAUUAUCUUUUCAUACUCUGUGAUCAUCAGCACUUUAUUACUUGAUGUUUUAAAU
rnacentral:lncRNA from 1 species